rnacentral:tRNA from 1 species
GGGCUGGAAUCUAGCUUGCAACUUACUUUUAAUCAGUAGGUCCAGGGUUCGAAUCCCUGCGCGCUCACCA